AACCGAAAUAGCGGAUUUCUGGAGAAUGGUGUGGCAACAAACGUGCGAAACCUUGUGAUGCUGACUAGACUUCUGGAAAACGGCAAGGAAAAGUGUAGUCAGUACUGCCCGAUGACGGCGCUGUAACAUACGGCUCAGCGACAGUGGAGCUACUGGUAAGGUAGUGAUGCCACACUACACGCUCCGCACGUUCUCCAUAACGUCGGUGGACACCGGCGAAACGAGAGAAGUGAACCACUUCCUUUACACGUCGUGGCCGGACCACGGCGUUCCUCAGUAUCCGGCAUCCAUCAUAAGCUUCAUCGAGGCUGUAAAGGGAGCGCAGUGUGGCGUCGAUGAACCGCUACUAGUCCAC